AUUUUCUGUAUUAUUUAGGGGGAAAGUGGAAAAAUUAUCCCUCUUUUUCAGAUCAUCUUCAAGAUAGAAUACAAUUGGUCCGCUGUCUGCUGGAAAGGUUAUGACUGUGGGUGCAAAUGAUUUUCUCGCUAACCAGAACACGGGCCGAGGGUCAAGGGAGGUCACUGCCUCUCGCUGUGUGCCGGGAGCAGACACAGACGGUUAAUGACCGGGCACAGCAUCAAAGAGCCGCCAGGGUUCUGUCCAUAGAGAUGGUCACCUGAGGACCAAGACGGCUGGGUCUAGUCACAGCUGACCACAUACAGUCCAUAUCAUAAGUAUUCACUCUCUUUGGAUUUCUUCACAUUUUAUUGUGUUACAAUGUGGUAUUAAAAUGGAUUUAAUUGUCUAUUAUUUUUGUAUCUACACAAAAACACUCUCUAAUGUAAAAGUAAAUGAAUUCAAUGAAUGAAAAAUAAAAAGCUAAUAUGAUUAGAUAAGUAUGUCAAUACAUGUUAUAAACAUAUUUGGCAGCGAUUUUAGCUGUGAGUCUUUUGGGGUACGUCUGUUAACGUUUUGCACACCUGUGCCAUAUUUGCCCAUUAUUCUUAAAAAAAAAUAUUCAAGCUCUGUCAAGUUGGUUGUUGUUAGACAGACAUUUUCAAGUAUUGCCAUAGUUUUUCAAGCAGAUUUAAGUCAAAACUGUAACUAGGCCACUCAGGUACAUUCACUGACUUCUUGGUAAGCAACUGAAAUGUAGAGUUGGCCUUGUGUUUUAGACUAUUGCCCUACUAACAGGUUAAUUUGUCUCCCAGUGUCUGGUGGAAAGUAGACUGAACCAGGUUUUCCUCUAGCAUUUUGCCUGUGGUACGGUCCAUUCUGUUUAUUUUUAUCCUGACAAACUCCCUUGUCCUUGAAGAUGAGAAGUUUACCCAUAACAUGAUGCAGCCACCAUCAUGCUUGAAAAUAUGGAGAGUAAUAUUCAGUAUCACCUGUUUAGUCCCUUGUUGCAAACAUGAUGCAUGUUUUGCUAUUUUUGUCCUAUACAAGCUUUCUUCUUUUUGCUCUGUCAUGUGGGUUAGUAUUGUAACUACAAUGUUGUUGAUCCAUCCUCACUUUUUUUUCUAAAAUCACAGCCAUUAACUACCAUGUUGUUGUGUUACUACCAUGUUGUGUUCAUGUUGCGUUGCUACCAUGCUGUGUUGUCAUGUGUUGCUGCCUUGCUUUGUUGUGUUUUUAGGUCUCUCUUUAUGUAGUGUUGUGUUGUCUCUCUUGUCGUGAUGUGUGUUUUGUCCUAUAUUUUUAUUACAUUUUUUAUUUUUAAUCCCAGCCCCCGUCCCCGCAGGAGGCCUUUUGGUAGGUCGUCCUUGUAAAUAAGAAUUUGUUCUUAAGUGACUUGCCUAGUUAAAUAAAGGUGAAAUACAAAUAAAAACUGUGUUACUGUUUUAAAAUCA